rnacentral:sRNA from 1 species
UCCGCAGGUGAGGACCCAGGACUCAAGUCUGGACUAUACACUCGUGGGAGGUGUGAGCUCUGAUCUUGCUAUAGCAAUAAUCGCGCUUCCACCGUGUUUAGGGACCGGAUCUUGACUGGCAGCUGCUGGUCAAUUCGAGUUGAAGUGAGAUGCAAAUUGCGUUAUUAUCUUCAGAUGAUUUGGAACUAUUUCGACUAUCCUAGGAGCUCACUGAUAUGAGGGUGGCGCACAUUAAAAUUCCCUAUCUCAGUUUUGGCCUUUCCCAAGCCGAUGAACCCUUUGGCUCGGCAACGGUAUAAUAUACGGUGUGUAAAUUUUGGGCGCUAUCACUAUUAUACCGAUCCUGGUGAUAGGCAGAUAUUUGGAAAAAGCCCCCUAAUUUCCAAGGGGCUUUGGAAUUAUUUGAUAAUAAGUGUAUUCUCGGCUGAAUAGCUGGGUUAUAAAUUUUGCUGAAUCUGGCUUGGGUUUUUGGAUAUUCACACAAUGAGAUAACUAUGGGGGACAAAGCAAGCAUUCUCGCAAAUUGAAUUGUGUUGAAGGAUUUCAAUACCUU